GAAACUUAAGAUCUAAAGGGAAGCUUCUAACUUACCCUUUUAGCUGUGAAACUCAGUUAAUGUUUCU
rnacentral:tRNA from 1 species